CCUACGGGUGGCAGCAGUGGGGAAUAUUGCUCAAUGGGCGCAAGCCUGAAGCAGCCACGCCGCGUGAAGGAUGAAGGUUUUCGGAUUGUAAAGCUCUAUUGUUAGAGAAGAAAAUGACGGUACCUGACUAAUAAGCUCCGGCUAAAUACGUGCCAGCAGCCGCGGUAAUACGGAGGGAGCAAGCGUUAUCCGGAAUUACUGGGUGUAAAGGGAGCGUAGACGGGUUAGCAAGUCAGAUGUGAAAUGCUGGGGCUCAACCAUAGGACUGCAUUUGAAACUGUAAAUCUUGAGUACGGGAGAGGUAGGCGGAAUUCGUGGUGUAGCGGUGAAAUGCGUAGAUAUCAAGAGGAACACCGAUUGCGAAGGCGGCUUACUAGACGGUAACUGACGUUGAGGCUCGAAAGCGUGGGGAGCAAACAGGAUUAGAUACCCGUGUAGUC
rnacentral:rRNA from 1 species